CGCACCGAUUUUUUUUAAAAAAACAACUCUCUUCUCUAAGGAGUAUUAUCGCCGUUUUAUAUAUAUUUUUUUUCAUUCUCAAUUUGGGCUUUCGAACGCCACUCCCAACCCUGCUCUCUCCUCCAUCUCUUCAAUAAAUUGCUCGUUCUGGAUGCCGUGCCGCCUUCAGUAUAACCGCCCUAGCUAUUUUCAUUGGAGUAUGACAGGCGAGGCUCUGCUUCCUCUGCCUCCCCUGACCGCACGUCCCUGCUGGAGGAUCGUUCUCAGACCGCCGAAGUUGGAAUGAGCCGUGGGCGGAUGAGAAGAGGAGGAAGAUCUUCAGCCUCGACUGGAUCAUCGGCGGGGAGUCGACAGCACGGACUGCUGUGGUAAAGGAGCUCCGAACCACAUGGGCGCAGCGGAGGAGAAGGCGUGACCUCCCCACGGAGCGUCGGUAGGCACGAUCGUGAAGUUGCGAAUGCCAGACAUGCUUUUUGAAAU